rnacentral:rRNA from 1 species
CUUCUUUGCUGGCGACCGGCGCACGGGUGAGUAACACGUAUCCAACCUGCCCUUUACUCGGGGAUAGCCUUUCGAAAGAAAGAUUAAUACCCGAUAGCAUAAUGAUUCCGCAUGGUUUCAUUAUUAAAGGAUUCCGGUAAAGGAUGGGGAUGCGUUCCAUUAGGUUGUUGGUGAGGUAACGGCUCACCAAGCCUUCGAUGGAUAGGGGUUCUGAGAGGAAGGUCCCCCACAUUGGAACUGAGACACGGUCCAAACUCCUACGGGAGGCAGCAUG